rnacentral:miRNA from 1 species
CUAAUAUUUCCAAGACUUUGCACUUGAUGGUUGUGGCUGCUACUAGUAUGUUAUAUGUAUAUACUAGCUGCAACCAUCAAGUGCAAAGUCUUGGAAAAUAUUAGCC